rnacentral:rRNA from 1 species
UGGAUCCUGAGUACGACGGAGCACGUGAAAUUCCGUCGGAAUCUGGGAGGACCAUCUCCUAAGGCUAAAUACUCUCUAGUGACCGAUAGUGAACCAGUACCGUGAGGGAAAGGUGAAAAGUACCCCGGAAGGGGAGUGAAAGAGAACUUGAAACCGUGUGCUUACAAGUAGUCAGAGCCCGUUAAUGGGUGAUGGCGUGCCUUUUGUAGAAUGAACCGGCGAGUUACGAUCUGAUGCAAGGUUAAGCAGAAAAUGUGGAGCCGUAGCGAAAGCGAGUCUGAAUAGGGCGAAUGAGUAUUUGGUCGUAGACCCGAAACCAGGUGAUCUACCCUUGGUCAGGUUGAAGUUCAGGUAACACUGAAUGGAGGACCGAACCGACUUACGUUGAAAAGUGAGCGGAUGAACUGAGGGUAGCGGAGAAAUUCCAAUCGAACUUGGAGAUAGCUGGUUCUCUCCGAAAUAGCUUUAGGGCUAGCCUCAAGUGAUGAUUAUUGGAGGUAGAGCACUGUUUGGACGAGGGGCCCCUCUCGGGUUACCGAAUUCAGACAAACUCCGAAUGCCAAAUAAUUUA